rnacentral:rRNA from 1 species
AGUGAACGCUGGCGGUAGGCCUAACACAUGCAAGUCGAACGGCAGCACAGUAAGAGCUUGCUCUUACGGGUGGCGAGUGGCGGACGGGUGAGGAAUACAUCGGAAUCUACUUUUUCGUGGGGAUAACGUAGGGAAACUUACGCUAAUACCGCAUACGACCUACGGGUGAAAGCAGGGGAUCUUCGGACCUUGCGCGGUUGAAUGAGCCGAUGUCGGAUUAGCUAGUUGGCGGGGUAAAGGCCCACCAAGGCGACGAUCCGUAGCUGGUCUGAGAGGAUGAUCAGCCACACUGGAACUGAGACACGGUCCAGACUCCUACGGGAGGCAGCAGUGGGGAAUAUUGGACAAUGGGCGCAAGCCUGAUCCAGCCAUACCGCGUGGGUGAAGAAGGCCUUCGGGUUGUAAAGCCCUUUUGUUGGGAAAGAAAAGCAGCAGGUUAAUACCCCGCUGUUCUGACGGUACCCAAAGAAUAAGCGCCGGCUAACUUCGUG